rnacentral:rRNA from 1 species
UACGUAGGGAGCAAGCGUUAUCCGGAUUUAUUGGGUGUAAAGGGUGCGUAGACGGGAAGGCAAGUUAGUUGUGAAAUCCCUCGGCUUAACUGAGGAACUGCAACUAAAACUAUCUUUCUUGAGUGCUGGAGAGGAAAGUGGAAUUCCUAGUGUAGCGGUGAAAUGCGUAGAUAUUAGGAGGAACACCAGUGGCGAAGGCGACUAUCUGGACAGUAACUGACGUUGAGGCACGAAAGUGUGGGGAGCAAACAGG